rnacentral:rRNA from 1 species
AAAAGGUUUCUCGCGCGCGAGAGGGGGGGCUCUCACAGCUAUUAAUUUCUUAUAUCUUGAUAUCCUACUUGAUAAACUGGUGGUAAUUCUAGAAGCUAAUACAUGCACCAAAGCUCCAAAUUUUUGACAAGCGCAUCUAUUAGUUUAAAACCAAUCGGGUUUCCGCCCGUUUGUUGGUGACUCUGAAUAACUAUGGCUGAUCGCAUGGUCUAGAACCGGCGACGUGUCUAUCAAGUGUCUGCCUUAUCAACUGUCGAUGGUAGUUUAUGUGCCUACCAUGGUUGUAACGGGUAACGGAGAAUAAGGGUUCGACUCCGGAGAGGGAGCCUGAGAAACGGCUACCACAUCCAAGGAAGGCAGCAGGCGCGCAAAUUACCCACUCUCGGCAUGAGGAGGUAGUGACGAAAAAUAACGAGACCGUUCUCUAUGAGGCCGGUUAUCGGAAUGGGUACAAUUUAAACCCGUUAACGAGGAUCUAUGAGAGGGCAAGUCUGGUGCCAGCAGCCGCGGUAAUUCCAGCUCUCAAAGUGUAUAUCGUCAUUGCUGCGGUUAAAAAGCUCGUAGUUGGAUCUGCGCCUCAGGACUUGGUCCGCCCACUGGGUGAGAACUGGGCUCCUGGGCUAGUUCUGCUGGUUUUCCCUACGUUGCCUUCAUCGGUAGCGUAGGGUGGCUAGCGAGUUUACUUUGAAAAAAUUAGAGUGCUUCACGCGGGCUUAUGUCUGAAUACUCGUGCAUGGAAUAAUAGAAUAGGAUCUCGGCUCUAUUUUGUUGGUUUUCUGAUCUGAGAUAAUGGUUAAGAGGGACGGACGGGGGCAUUCGUAUCGCUGCGUGAGAGGUGAAAUUCUUGGACCGUAGCGAGACGUCCGACUGCGAAAGCAUUUGCCAAGAAUGUCUUCAUUAAUCAAGAACGAAAGUCAGAGGUCGAAGCAGAAAAAACCCCCCACCACACAAAAAUUUGUUU